GUGAAUCAUCGAAUUUUUGAACGCAAAUUGCACUUUCUGGUAUUCCGGAAAGUAUUCCUGUUUGAGGGUCAGUUAAAUAAAAAUCGGUGUUGUUGCUGCUUUUCGUGGUGCCGAGUUGGAAUUGAGUUGUCUUAUUUUCGGUUAAGUGAUUUAAAUUUUUGCAUGAUUUUCUAACGUAUUUUAAUUUCUUAUUUACGUUUGAUAUAUGGAAUCCUUUAUUAGUUUCGGUCAUCCUCGUG
rnacentral:misc_RNA from 1 species